ensembl:snoRNA SNORD58 Small nucleolar RNA SNORD58
AAGCCCUGAUGGCAUUUCUUAGGACACCUUUGGAUUAAUCAUGAAAACAACAACUCUCUGAGUAUU